rnacentral:rRNA from 1 species
UGAGUAACGCGUAGGAACCUGUCGCACAGUGGGGGAUAACGCUGGGAAACCGGCGCUAAUACCGCAUGUGGUCAGAGAUGAAGAAAGCAGCAAUGCGCUGUGUGAGGGGCCUGCGUCCGAUUAGCUAGUUGGUGGGGUAACGGCCUACCAAGGCGACGAUCGGUAGCUGGUCUGAGAGGAUGGUCAGCCACACUGGGACUGAGACACGGCCCAG